CUCCUCCUCCUCUGCCCGCGCCGUCCCUCCUCCAGCCCCGGGGCCUGCACAAAGCUGCUCAGAGCUUCGUUCUCUCCUCGCCCCGUGUUCAAGGCCCGGGUCUAACCUAGGGAGGGCCACCCAGCCAGCUUCGCCCCCUGCACUGCCCCAGAGCCUGAGCCUGGACCUGGGUCCGCCCGGGAGGCGCAGGCCUGGAGGGAAGGCCCGGAAGGGAGCGGGGCUUCAGCUGCAGGCAGCGCCCAGAUGGCGGCCGAGCUCUGCGUCCAGUCCGGGGGCUUGCAGCCUGGCAGUCCCCUCACCCCCACCCCCUCAUGGACCUGCUGCCAAGAGAAGGUGGCUACCUUGCUCCUGGGUGCCAGCGGUGUCCGUCCCCAGCUGCCAUGCGUCCUCCCCCAGCUGCGGGACCUGCUAUGAUUUCAUACAGAUCUGUAGACAGCCAUAGGUACCAGCGCGCAGUCCUCGCAGGCACACUGUCAAGGUCUCCCACGGCCUGUUUCCUGAUCUUAGAGCGCCCCCUGUGGAAAGGACGCUCCUACUGCCCUGGCUGCACAGGCUUCCUGCCCACCGGGAGCGCAUCUCAGCGUUCGUGGGCCUGAGACCACCGCACCCGCCCCUCCGCCUACGUGCUGCGCUGCCUUCGAUCCUUGGUCUGGCUUCUGGUUGACCAUCCCAGAACCAAUUCCACUUUGAAUAUUAGGGAGGGCUCCGAAGAGGUGUCCGUGCGUGUCCUCCCAAAUAACACCUUGGGGUGUCUGGAGAAGAGGGAGAGAAGCAAGCUCUGAUUCCAUGAUGCCAUGAUGAA